AUGGAUGAAGAAACUGCUAGAGAUUUUUUUGCUUGCAAUGAUAAAUAUGAUCUUAAGAAAUUAUUAGCUAAGCUGAAAGAAAAAUCUUUGAAUGCUAGAAUGAAAUAUGACCCUGCUUUUGCUACUUCACCUAUCUGUAUUACUAAUAAGGACUAUGAUUUCUCUGUCAAUCCUGAGUUAAUUACUUUGGUUGAAUCUGAUCCUUUUCAUGGCUAUGAAUCUGAAACUAUUGUGGCACAUCUUACUAAAUUAAAUCAUAUAGCCACCCUAUUCACUCAUGAGGAAAAAAUUUGUUACUACCUUAUCCUUAAGCUAUUUACGUUCUCAUUAAAGGGUGAUGCUAAAACAUGGUUUAAUUAUCUUGAUCCCGGUUGUGUGCGUAGUUCCCAGGAUAUGAUUUAUUACUUCUCUGCUAAAUAUUUCCCUGCUCAUAAGAAACAAGCUGCUUUAAGGGAAAUAUAUUAUUUUGUGCAAAUUGAAGAAGAGAGUCUCCCACAAGCUUGGGGGAGGCUUCUCCAAUUACUUAAUGCUUUGCCUGAUCAUCCUCUCAAGAAAAAUGAAAUACUUGAUAUCUUUUAUAAUGGACUAACCGAUGCUUCCAGAGACCACUUGGAUAGUUGUGCUGGUUGUGUUUUCAGGGAAAGAACCGUUGAUCAGGCUGAAUUGCUAUUGAAUAAUAUGUUGAGUAAUGAAAACAAUUGGACACUUCCUGAACCAACUCCUAAGCCAACUCUGAAGAAAAGGGGUAUUCUAUUUCUCAGUCGUGAAGAUAUGCAAGAGGCAAAGAAAUCUAUGAUACAAAAUGGUAUUAAAGCUGAAGACGUUAAGAAUUUACCACCUAUUGAAGAAAUACAUGGUCUUGAUAACCCGACACAGGUAGUAAAGGUAAAUUCUCUCUAUAGAUUUGAUAAAGCUGAAAUCCCAUCUACUAAGUUUGCUAGCCAAUGCUUGGAUGAGUUUGAUAAUUUUAUUGUUAAACAAGAAAACUUCAAUGAUUAUGUUGGUAGACAAUUGAAACGUAAUGCUUAUAUGAUUGAACACUUGAGUGAUUAUAUGUCUAGAGUUAAAGGUGAACUUAAACUUAUUAGUAAACAUGCUUCUAUGGUUACCACUCAAGUAGAACAAGUGCUUAAGGCUCAAAAUGAUUCGCUCAAUGAAUUGAAUACCAAGAAAAAUGAUAAUGCUAUUAGAGUUAUGACUAGAGGGGGUAAAAUGACUCAGGAACCUUUGUAUCCUAAGGGCCACCCUAAGAGAAUUGAGCAAGAUUCUCAGAGAACUAAUGUUGAUGCACCCAGUCCUUCUAAGAAGAAGAAAAAGAAAAAUGAUAGGACUUUGCAUGCUUCUAGUGAACUUGUUGUUGACACACCUGAGAAUCCCAAUGAUAUUUCUAUUUCUGAUGCUGAAACACAAUCUGGUGAUGAACAUGAACCUAGUGAUAAUAUUAAUGAUGAUGUUCAUGUUGAUGCUCAACCUAGCGAUAACAAUGAUGUAGAGAUUGAACCUGUUGUUGAUCUUGAUAACCCACAAUCAAAGAAUCAAUGUUAUGAUAAGAGAGACUUCGUUGCUAGGAAGCACGGUAAAGAAAGAGAACCAUGGGUUCAGAAACCCAUGCCUUUUCCUCCUAAACCAUCCAGGAAAAAGGAUGAUGAGGAUUUUGAGCGCUUUGCGGAAAUGAUUAGACCUAUCUUUUUGCGUAUGCGUUUGACUGAUAUGCUUAAAAUGAAUCCUUAUGCUAAGUAUAUGAAAGAUAUUGUUACUAAUAAAAGAAAGAUACCGGAAGCUGAAAUUUCCACCACGCUUGCUAAUUAUACUUUUAAAGGUGGAAUACCUAAGAAACUUGGAGAUCCAGGAGUACCAACUAUACCAUGCUCCAUUGAAAGAAACUAUGUUAAAAUUGCUUUAUGUGAUCUUGGAGCCGGUGUAAGUGUUAUGCCUCUCUAUUUAUAUCGUAGACUUGAUUUGAAUAAGUUGACACCUACUGAAAUAUCUUUGCAAAUGGCCGAUAAAUCAACCGCUAUACCUGUCGUUAUUUGUGAGGAUGUGCCUGUUGUGGUUGCAAACGUUACUAUCUUAACGGACUUUGUUAUUCUUGAUAUUCCAAUGAUUACUAUUGGAGGUUUUGAAUUUCCUCUUCCUACUGCCAAGAAGAAAUAUGAUAUUCUUAUUAUUGGGGAUGUGCAUAUCCCCGUUGAGGUAACUUAG
rnacentral:rRNA from 1 species